GACAGAGGGUGCAAACGUUGUUCGGAAUUACUGGGCGUAAAGCGAGUGUAGGCGGUUUGGUAAGUCGGAUGUGAAAGCCCCGGGCUCAACCCGGGAAGUGCACUCGAUACUGCCAAGCUAGAGUAUCGGAGAGGUUGGUGGAAUUCUCGGUGUAGAGGUGAAAUUCGUAGAUAUUGGGAAGAACACCGGUGGCGAAGGCGGCGACCUGGUCUGAUACUGACGCUGAGGCGCGACAGCGUGGGGAGCAAACAGG
rnacentral:rRNA from 1 species